rnacentral:rRNA from 1 species
AUUAGAUACCCUGGUAGUCCACACCGUAAACGAUGAUUACUAGAUUUUGGCCUUAUGGUCAGAGUCCAAGCGAAAGUGUUUAGUAAUCCACCUGGGGAGUACGUCCGCAAGGAUGAAACUCAAAGGAAUUGACGGGGGCCCGCACAAGCGGUGGGGCAUGUGGUUUAAUUCGAUGAUACGCGAGGAACCUUACCUGGGCUUGAAAGUUAGUGACCGCUCCUGAAAGGGAGCUUUCCGCAAGGACACGAAACUAGGUGCUGCAUGGCUGUCGUCAGCUCGUGCCGUGAGGUGUCGGAUUAAGUUCCAUAACGAGCGCAACCCCUAUUUCUAGUUGCCAGCGAGUAAUGUCGGGGACUCUAGAGAAACUGCCCGUGUAAGCGGUGAGGAAGGUGGGGAUGACGUCAAGUCAUCACGGCCCUUACGUCCAGGGCGACACACGUGCUACAAUGGUAGGGACAGUGAGUUGCAAGCUAGUAAUAGUAAGCUAAUCUACAAACCCUAUCUCAGUUCGGAUCGAGGUCUGCAACCCGACCUCGUGAAGCUGGAAUCGCUAGUAAUCGCAUAUCAGCCAUGAUGCGGUGAAUACGUUCCCGGGCCUUGUACACACCGCCCGUCAAGCCAUGGAAGUUGGGAGCGCCUAAAGUCGGUGACCGUAAGGAGCCGCCUAAGGUGAAACCAGUAACUGGGGCUAAGUCGUAACAAGGUAUC